UUAACACAUGCAAGUCGUGCGAGAAAGGGGACUUCGGUCCCUGAGUAGAGCGGCGCACGGGUGAGUAACGCGUGGAUAAUCUCCCCAGAAGUUCGGGAUAACGGCGGGAAACUGCCGCUAAUACCGGAUACGCUCCAAUUUCGGUUGGGGGAAAGGCGGCCUCUGUUUACAAGCUGUCGCUUCUGGAUGAGUCCGCGUCCCAUUAGCUUGUUGGUGGGGUAAUGGCCUACCAAGGCUACGAUGGGUAGCUGGUCUGAGAGGAUGAUCAGCCACACUGGAACUGAAACACGGUCCAGACUCCUACGGGAGGCAGCAGUGGGGAAUAUUGCGCAAUGGGGGAAACCCUGACGCAGCGACGCCGUGUGAGGGAUGAAGGCUUUCGGGUCGUAAACCUCUGUCGGGAGGGAAG
rnacentral:rRNA from 1 species